ensembl:lncRNA
CAGUUGCAUUUAUCAUGGUCUAUGAGGAUGGCAAAGGGUCUGUGGCCGCUGACCCGAGGGGAUAGGGUAUUCUUCAAGCCUUGAAGACCAGUCUCCACAUCCCCCAAGCAGACCGCUCCACCCCCAUAGCUGAGACAAGGUGUCCCUUCACACCGCUGGAGGCAUCGCCUUUGGCCUGCGCCAGCAGCCACCCAGCAACGCCUAGGGGUCCGCCUGAGCGAAGCAAGAACUUGGACACUUUAGCAAACUCUCCCCCUUUUUCUUCUUCCUCCACCGUUUUCUGGCUCAGAAACUGCACUAGGUGGCCCCCCAGGUCACUCCUUGGGUAGCAGACAGCUACCCGACAGAAGAUACAUUACUGGGCUGCUCCUGGAGAAGACCAAAACCCUGUCAAGAAGUGGAAGAAUAUACUGACACUAGAAGAAAAAAGGCUUUCCGAGACAGACAAUAUUAUGUAUAAAGCUCUACAGUUUCCUUCAUCCUGCACACAGCGGUGGCCCUGUGUGUCGUUUCACUCCUCAGCUUCACACUUGGCAUGCUUCGGGAAAGCCUCGUGCCCCAAGCUCUCCACGCAGCAGCUCUCACAAAGACUCAGUUUGCCCCAACAAUUCCCUCAGCCCCAGACUCCAAGCUGAAUGUUCCCCAACUACCCAUCUAGUGGAGGAACCAGUCCACUUUGGCCAAAUGUCCCCAAACCACACACCUUCUAAAUAUCUAGAGGUUUCCUGGGCUAGACCUUAAAUCAGAAAAUGCUCGAAACUGAUGCAUCAUUCCAUCAUCACCACCAGCACUUCUUCCUCCAUCACACACCUCUCCUCCUCUCCUGCCCCAGCCUCGAGACACAUGCUGCUCUUCCUCACUGGGAUCUCAACCACACGCAUACGCAGCAUGUUCAAGGGGCUUUCAACCAGCUGCUUCUCAGACAUAAGUCAGCCAUAUUGUUGUCUGCUUGUAAGACAGGAAUAGAUAAUGGAAGGGGCAGGGGUGCAAAAUAAGAGCUUGACACGUUUGAGAGAAGAAUCAGCAUGCUGGGGAGGAAUGUACUAGGGUAUCUAGUUCCUGGUAAGUAGCCCCCUGGAAACAGCCAGGAGGAAAGGCAAGGCCUGGCCUCCAUUCAGUCACUCACUCCUUGUUCCAGUGCUACCUCCCUCCUUGGGAUGAGGCUCGUGGCUUUGGCUGGGCAGAGCUGGCCCCACACUUUCCUCAGACAGCAAGCUGGAACUGAGCAGCAGCAAAGCUCUGGGUCCCAGACUCUCUGCAAGACAGAAAAGCCUGCUCAGCCCUAGGUUUGGAUACUGAGUGGCCACCUCCUGACCUGCUCUCUCCUCUCAGCACUGAACACCAUCCUGUCCAUCCCUGAGCACAGAGGGAAAAUGUCCACGUCAGGGUCUUCAGCCAACACCAAAUCCCCAGGGGAAAGGCUGCAGCCAACGUAGGCGCAGCACCAGCGGCUGCCCGUUUACAUUACCAGAGCCGCUAAAGGCACAUGUGCUCAGAUGGACAGCCUGGGGUCAGAACCCAGCUCCGCACGCUCACCGUUUGACCGUGGACAAGAUGUUGUGGCCCGCAUCUUUAAAAUGUGGGUAAUAACACCCACUUCAUAGACUCACUGUGAGGGUUAAAUGAAUUAAUACCCAAAAGGUACCUUGAACAGUUUCUGGCAUAUUUAUAGGCAUGGUAUUAGCUUUAUAAUGUUUUAAUUUUCAAUUUAAUUAUUAUUACCACUAGAGCCCCUGGAACAAACAGCCUCUGAAUUUCUGAAGUCAAAUCCUAACUUCUGUCCUACUCAUGUGGUACUUUAGGAACCACAACUGACCUAACUUCGUCUCACUCUCUGCCCUGCCACCCUCUCCCAGCAGUUCACACAGCUCUGGGCACACAGCUGGUGCCCGGCCAGCUGAAUUGAACCAAUGAGAUUCCAGGUCCGUCCGUCUUCUGCCCUACCCCAACCCUGUAACUACUUCUGGGUGAGUAUCACUUUAUCUCUGUCCCCUGGAAAGUGGGGCAUGAAGGCUUGUACGGUUCCGCCACGUCAGGAAGCCCAUAAAAAUACAAAGUACAGCCAGAAAGAAAAUGAAACUUUGGGAAACAAGAUGGUGAUCAUGAACAUAGCCAUGGGGACAAAUCCAAAGAGUCCUUUCUUCACUUGGAGAAGUCACACGGCUGUCUCCUUGCAGGGAAGACAUAUUUGGAACCAAAACUGAAGCCCCAGGAACCAGCGCACAGCAUCACGGAACCCCUCUGAGACAUAUCGCCUGACGAAUCAUCCCAGGGGCUGGGGCUGUGCAGGUGUCACCCCCAGAACUGCUUCCCCUACCAGACACACAGGAUGGAGAAUUCCAGAAGGAACUGCGAGUGCUCACACGUCCACACCCUGCAAUAGUAACCGAAACAGAACCUGCCACCGUCAAGGCCCCACAUUUGUACAGACAGGCACCUGAGUGUUUACACAAGGCCUGCAAGCUCUCCUUGCAUGAUGUAAGAUGCCAGCAACUGCCACAGUUUCCAUUGCAUAGGAAUUCCUAGAGCGAGACCACAGGGGCCCACACCUCUCUUUUCCACACAGGGGAUGCCACAGGGAGGGUGAGCCUUUGGGUUGAGUGAGACUCUCGUAAAGCAGCCGGAAGGCAACUGCCCUUAACAAGGGGCCUCUCUCCUCUUCCCACGUGCCUUUAUAAGGGCUUCUGCCACUAAUGAGCAUUCGAGCAGAAGCAAACAUGUAGAGAGAGAGAAAGGAGCUGCACUGAACUUCCCAGAACCACAGACCAGCUUCGAGAUGAGUGAGAGCCUAGCAAUGCCAGGAUCAUGAAAUCAUGGGCUCAGGUCCUGAAAGGCUUGACCUUAACCCUGCUGAACCCUCAGACCACAUGACAGCUCCUAAGAAGUGCCAGUUAAAUAUGUUAAACUGAGAAAUUGCAACUAGAACCCAAGGCUUUGCCAUUUUAUUCAAAAAUGUUUACUUCAUGUUUCCCCAUUAAAUAUAAGCAACUUCCCCCUUGUAUAUAUUUGCACCACAUUCACACAAUGUGUUCCCCGUCAACAUUUGAAUUAUGGGCACAGGCCCUGAAAUGUUAGUUUUGUGCUAAGAUAAAUAUUGGAAUAAUAUUCACUCUGCUUUUUUGAAGUAGUCAACAUCACAAUUUGUGAUUGAAGAGCGAAGGCACCAUUUGCUUUCUGAAGUAACAAAAGGAUAACAAGCAAUCCUCUUGGGGAAAGGAAUCAAAAUGGCCUCCUGGAACCCUCUCACUGCCUCUGUCAUUAUUGUAUCUGCUGACACCGGACCAGCACAGCUUCUCUGAUGGCACUCGGCAAAUACCCUGAGCCCCUGAGCCUGGCCCUGGGAGGAUGAUGAUGCUCACAGUGUGCCCCGCACCUGCCACCACCAGCCCCAACGAGGAACAGGUAAAGGCCCAGCACCAUUGUCAAACCCAGCCUGGGUUUCCUGAUGACUUUACAUGGAGCUCUAGAAAAAGAAGAGAGACAGGGAGGGAGGUAAGGUAGGGCUUACACACAGCCCCUGAGGAUAAAUCCCCUCUCCGAUUCCUGUGUGGGCCACGUUGGCUGGAAAAGUAUCGGUCCUCUGUUCACAUCCCCCUGCAACUCUCACAGGUUCCCCUGAAGGCCUGCCUCUGUGGGCUGACAAAAGCAAGAACCACUGAGGGGACAGCUCAGAAACACAGCACACCCUGCUCUGCCACACAAGAGCCACGCAAGGGCCAUAUCUGGGGAAAGCCACAGGGCUCAAAUUCAGGCCACCCACAGUCUGAAGCCCACACCCAGUUCUGGCAUUUCUGAUCAUUCUGGUCAUUUUGAGCUCAAAAUGAUGCCUGGGGUGAGUCAGGAAGCGUUUCCCUCUGCUGGUGAGGGCACUCUGGGGGGUGAUGAUUCAAGCAACCCAGCAGCAGUUUGCUGAGCUCUCUCCCCUGCCAUACUUCUCUCACGGUAUCAGAAGCCAAUUCUGUGAGGGAAUCAGAGCAGGUGGUAGGAUCCCCAUUUUACAGAUGUGGAAACUGAGGCUGAGAGAGGCUUACCCAAAAUCCAGUAGCUAGUGACAGAGAUCUCCUCAUGGCCCCCUCCAGAGUCUGUGUAUAUUUGCUCAAGGGCUCUGUGUCUAUGAAAUGCAUCACUGGAACCGUCCCUCCAUGCUCUGGGAAGCAUGAAAAACUGGGUCCAGAGUCUGUUAUGACCAGCAUAUCUUAUAGCCUCUCAGGACCUCAAUUCCCUCAACUGUCAAAUAGUGGGCUGUCCUAACUAUCAUUAUGAUUGUUGCUGCCACCAAAAGUAUUAGUACUUCACAGUCCCUUCCAGCUUUCUCUCUUCCCCUGAUCAACCUUUAAAAG